GUGACUAACAGUGCCCAACUUCAAAGUUUUUUUUUUUCCCCCUCACUGAGACAGAGGGCUUAGGAUCAUUUACUGCUUCAAAAAAACCACAGCUUAAAAUGACUAAUUAGCAUACAACUAUAAUUUCAGAAAUCCCCUAUUUGAUGGUGUGCAUCACAUGUGUUUCAGAAUUUCUAAGCUCUCAUAGGUUAACUGGCACAUAAAACUAGGCCUUUGCACUGGUUAUCUUCAAAAAGCAUUUGUCUAUUCUUCACAAGUGAUCAUCUUUACCUUUCUCUUCAAAAACCCUUUUUGAAAAAUCUAAUCACAGCUAUUAAAAUAACUGAACUGGACUAAACAUAACCAAAAUUUAGAACAUUGAAAUGUCCAGGGUUAUAUCAGUCAAUAAUGAGAGAGAGGUAAAAAGAUUAGAUCAGGUCUUCAGUUUCCAUACUAAUUGCUUGCAAAAGACUGCCCUCAGUAGGAUGAGGGAUUACUGAAUCAUAAGUAUUCAGUACCUUCCACUGGAAGGGAAAAAAAUCCAAAUGUUUAAAUAAAAAGAAAGGAUAGAAAAAGUGAUGGCAACAAUGGUUUUCUCAACUCACAAGAAAGAAGGUGAUGAUUGC
rnacentral:lncRNA from 1 species